rnacentral:lncRNA from 7 species
ACUUCUUGAGAUGAUGGUCUGGCUUCUGACAGCUUUAUAGAUGGCUUAACAAAAAGAGCAGAUCAAUAUGCAGAAACAAUCUAAAAGGGACUAUCUGACCAGGAGAUCAUGGUCAGGUGCAUAGUAAUCUGCUGUUUGUUUGCAUCACUAAAUCAUUAUACAAAUACAUUAUGUUAGAUGUUCCUUCACGGACACAAAUAUUGUACUCAUAAGAAACCACAUUAUGAUCCAGACUUGCCCAUACAGCUGUGAUUCCUGCAGGAAGAAACCAGUUACUUGGUUUAGUUCAACCCCUUCCUGUCCAGGAUGAUUAACCCACUCUAUAUUUUCCUUUCUGCAUUUCACGAUUUAACACUACUCUUUUCUUCAACUGCCUCAACACUUUUGAAAAUUCAGAUGAGGGCAAGGACUACAUUGGGAGUGAAAUUCUGCUACAGAAAUGGGUAAUGUAAAGGUUUUUCAGCAUCACUGAUUGGUGAGAAAGAGCUGUUAUCCCCAUACUAUGAUGGGAAAAUUGAGCAUGUCUACAUUGCAGAACACCAGACACAAAUGAGCACCUCUGCCAGCAGAAGCCAUCUCACACAGAAAUAAUAAAAAAAAAAGGAUGGAAAAUGAAGAACAUCUUGAAUUCAGGACUUACGUGUCAUAGUGCUGGAGUGAGAAUGAGUAGAAAGGAACAGAGUGCGAAGAGAAGAAUAAGAUAAAAAUGGAAAGCAGAAAUCCUGAGCUGGCCCCACUGAACAACGUGUUCAAACAGCUCUCACACCAACCUCAACUGAGAGAGUGGAUUUUAAAUAAAUAAAUAAAUAAAUAAAACAUUCUUUUUUAUGCUUUACUAUUUGCCACACUUGAGCGCACCUCUAAAAAAAGAUAAGUAAAAUAUUAAAAAGAUGUUUUAAAAGAAUAUAUAAAACCAGUGGAAGAAAGACAGGUAACCUUUGAUAAAAGGAACUUGUGAGAAGACACAUGGGAAUGUAAGAAAAAGUUGAACACAGAUGCUACAGUGGUAAAAAGAUGGAGUAGGAAGCUCAGUAAGCAACUGGGAGAGAACAGAGCCACAAAAUACACCAGCAAGAAUUAGCUUACUGGUUCUGAUGCCAAGGUGAAGAGGACAAAACCAAAAGAAAGACGUCUAAACAAUGUAAGAAGACAGUUUUUAUGUAAUAGAUAUUUGGCUGUAUAUUCUUCGAUCAAACAUGUUUGAUUAAAGUUAAUUUUAC